CAGUCAUUACAUUUGCCCAGCCCUCUUUUAGUACAAGGCUGUGAUUUUACUGCUGCAACAAACAUUUCCAGACAACAGAGAAAGGACAGUCAUGAUGCUUGCAGUUUUCCUCUUUCUGCUCACCCUCACAGGUAGAAGUACAUCCAAUUACACAGAGCCACCGGAGCAACAUGAUGAUCAACAGAACUUCAAUCAGAGCUCUGAAAAAAUAAAUAGGGAUUCCUCUGAGGGUAAAUGUGGUUAUCAGGAUGUUUUGAACCACCUGAACCUGACCAAAAAAAAUGAUCUGUACAACAUGGCCCGGCCUGUUAAACACUACAGUACAACUACAGUCAUACAAUUCCAAAUGCUGCUGCAUAGCAUCCUAGAUGUGGUAAGUUUUAAAUUAAGCUUUACAUUUUCUGUCAUUUUUUUCUUUUUAAUGGUAAUGAUUAUUUCCUCUGCAAAGGACAGU